GUGGGGAAUAUUGGACAAUGGGGGGAACCCUGAUCCAGCCAUGCCGCGUGUGUGAAGAAGGCCUUUUGGUUGUAAAGCACUUUAAGCGAGGAGGAGGCUACCGAGAUUAAUACUCUUGGAUAGUGGACGUUACUCGCAGAAUAAGCACCGGCUAACUCUGUGCCAGCAGCCGCGGUAAUACAGAGGGUGCAAGCGUUAAUCGGAUUUACUGGGCGUAAAGCGCGCAUAGGUGGCCAAUUAAGUCAAAUGUGAAAUCCCCGAGCUUAACUUGGGAAUUGCAUUCGAUACUGGUUGGCUAGAGUAUGGGAGAGGAUGGUAGAAUUCCAGGUGUAGCGGUGAAAUGCGUAGAGAUCUGGAGGAAUACCGAUGGCGAAGGCAGCCAUCUGGCCUAAUACUGACACUGAGGUGCGAAAGCAUGGGGAGCAAACAGGAUUAGAUACCCUGGUAGUCC
rnacentral:rRNA from 1 species